rnacentral:lncRNA from 1 species
GUCUCCAACUCCUGGAUCAAGUGAUCCACCCACCUUGGCCUCCCAAAGGGCUGGGAUUACAGGCGUGAGCCACCACGCCCGGCCAGGCUGAGUUUUUCUCCAGCGGUUCAUCGAGUCCUCUGACAAAGCAAGGAGCCGAUAUAGGGCCAGUGGGACGGUCGCCAGUCAAGGGGCUGGGCUUGGUGGAAAGAUUAAUACUCACUGGACGUCCAGUCGAAACGCCCUGAAACCUAUGAUGCUGUCGACCAAACGAAGGCCUGGAAUACCAAAAUAGCCACAUAGUCAGGGCUUUCAGGCCCCUGCCCAGGCACCUAUGGUACUUGCUGGACUUGAAACAGAUGGAAGGUGAGCUCUGCCUAGGACACGCCCAGCCUCAGCUGGAGGAGAAGCUGCCUCUUUCUCAGCCUGAGCCCCCUGCUGGCUCUGUAGGACUCAGGUCACUCCUUUUUGGCCCCUCCCCUGUUCUCCCCCGGCCUCCUGGGGUGCAGAGCCACCCUGAGAUGGGGUCCUGCCCUCUCCCGCCAUCUUUUCACCCCCUCUCUAGCCCUGGUCUAGGUGAGCUCCUGCCUGGUCCUGCCUCCUGGGUAAUGUAUCAGCCUCGCCCACUGUCUGCGGCUGCCUCUCUGGGCCCCUGGGACAGACCCCACUGUGUCCAGUUCAGGGCUGACCCUGCAGGAAUGAACUGGGGUCUGGUCUUGUGAUUCCAGAAAGCCAGGCUGCUGACGUCCCCAUCCACCAGCCCAGCCUGUGUCUUGCAGCCAUUGUAUUAGUCACAGGCUCGUGCCCUAUAGUCAGACCUCAUGCUUUCUUUUGGAGUUCGGGGUGUUGGUUGGAAAUAGUGGGGGCUAUAGGAGGAAGGAGGAUGGUUACACGGAAGGGCAUGAGAAGCUGGGGACCUGCAGGUCUCAGUCCCACAUUCUUUUUUUUUUUUUUAAGAUGGAGUCUCGCUCUGUCACCAGGCUGGAGUGCAGUGGCACAAUCUCAGCUCACUGCAACCUCGACCUCCUGGGUUCAAGCGAUUCUCCUGGCUCAGCCCCCCGACAUUUUUUAAAAUUUAUUUAUUUUCUUAGAGAUGGGGUCUUGCCAUGUUGCCCAGUUGGUCUCAAACCCCUGGGCUAAGAUAAUCCUCCCACCUC